UUUUGAGAAUUCUUUAUAAAAGAAGAGAGGGAGGAGAUCGAAACGAAUAAUUGUAUCGAACGAGCCCCUAUCUCAAUUACAAGUAAGGAGCUAUUACCCUAUGCCUAUGGUCUUCGUUCCUUACACGAUAGAUUGAGAGCCAGAUUGAGAUGCCCUAUCGAGGGAGUCUCCAGCUCUACAUCUAUCUACUAUUAAUACCCUAUGCCUAUGGUCUUCGUUCCUUACACGAUAGAUUGAGAGACAGAUUGAGAUGCCCUAUCGAGGGAGUCUCUAGCUCUACAUCUAUCUACUAUUAAGAAAGAAAGGGGAUCGGGUUUGAGUUACCCAGCUCAGUAACAAAAAAGGUUCGGAGAACAACCUAAUUACAAUAGAACCCCUGUUGAUUCGCCAAAGAUCUACAAGCCAGGAUUCUAGAGAAAGAGACGCUAUUAAGGAUACUUUAACAGAACCUUAGGACUUAUCUUGAGUUCGGCAUCCCUGACUCCAUUCCUGACUAGAGAAGGGAAUGCGGUGAAUCACCAGUUUGGAUCGAAGAAUAGGCACCCACGAAUUAGCAGCAUAUUUGCGUGAUCUAUCGAGUGGAAAACC
rnacentral:lncRNA from 1 species